rnacentral:rRNA from 1 species
UACGUAGGGAGCAAGCGUUGUCCGGAAUCAUUGGGCGUAAAGCGCGCGUAGGCGGCCCUGUAAGUCCGUUGUGAAAGUCAAAGGCUCAACCUUUGAAAGCCGAUGGAUACUGCAGGGCUAGAGUCCGGAAGAGGCAAGUGGAAUUCCUGGUGUAGCGGUGGAAUGCGCAGAUAUCAGGAGGAACACCUAUAGCGAAGGCAGCUUGCUGGGACGAUACUGACGCUAAGGCUCGAAAGCGUGGGGAGCGAACAGG